CCUGGCCUCCCUCUGCUCUCUCAACCUCCAGCACCAACAACGGCUCUAGAUCCUCUCCACUCGAUCCAGAGGUAAGUUUAAUGAAAUCCAGUUAGAUUCGUCCAAGUUCGUGUUUAGCCUUGAUUUAAAUUGGAUAUGAAUUCACUUGCUUCGGUUUUGUUGUCUUUCUUUCAAGGUUAUCUGGUCUCGACUUGAUGUGUUGGGAUGAUUGGAUCUGUUCUUGAGAUGUUGUGCUUGGGUUGCCGUCCACCAUUUUCAUCCAGGAUAUUAAUUUUUAUUUCUAUUUUAAUUGGACAAUUGAACUAAUUGAGUGUAAUGUAAUUCAUAAAGAAAUCGGUAGACGGACGUUGUAAUUAUAAUCCGUGGUGGAAUUGUAUUUUGUUGGUAGAUUGAAUUAUUGUAUUUUGGUGUUGUACAUCAAUUUGAUCGAGCUGUACAACUAUUUUUUUAAUAUUCUUAAGUUCAC
rnacentral:lncRNA from 1 species